rnacentral:rRNA from 1 species
UACGUAGGGCGCAAGCGUUGUCCGGAAUUAUUGGGCGUAAAGCGCGUGUAGGCGGCUUAUCAAGUCGGGCGUGAAAGCCCUCAGCUCAACUGAGGAAGUGCGCCCGAAACUGGUGAGCUUGAGUGCCGGAGAGGAUGGCGGAAUACCCCAAGUAGAGGUGAAAUUCGUAGAUAUGGGGUGGAACACCGGUGGCGAAGGCGGCCAUCUGGACGGUAACUGACGCUGAGACGCGAAAGCGUGGGUAGCAAACAGG